rnacentral:tRNA from 1 species
AGCUGGGUGGUAUAAUGGAUAGAGCACAGGACUGAUAAUCAGAAAAACAAGUUCAAAUCUUGUCCAAGUCA